rnacentral:rRNA from 1 species
GACGUAGGGUGCGAGCGUUGUCCGGAUUUAUUGGGCGUAAAGCGCGUGUAGGCGGGAUGGCAAGUCGGGUGUGAAAGCCCUCAGCUCAACUGAGGAAGUGCGCCCGAAACUACUGUUCUUGAGUACUGGAGAGGGUGGCGGAAUUCCCGGUGUAGAGGUGAAAUUCGUAGAUAUCGGGAGGAACACCAGUGGCGAAGGCGGCGAUCUGGGAAGAUACUGACGCUGAGGUGCGAAAGCGUGGGGAGCAAACAGG